CCCUUAGAUGUUCUGGGCUGCACCCGUGCUACACUGGCAGGUUCAGCGAGCUUCAUGCCCUGAUCUGAAAGGAAUGGGAAAUCUUUUCAAAACCUGCCGUGCUUGGGAUAGAUGUUUGCAAUUAUUCAUCUUCAACGAGGAUUGCCUUGUAAGCGCACGUCAUCAGCGUGCAUUGAAUACGACCCUGUAUUCUGUACACACCGCCCGUCGCUCCUACCGAUUGAAGUUUUCGGUGAGUUGACAGGAGGAUUUUUUUGAAACUGGUUCGCCAGUGGAUUGUAGAUCCAAAUGCCAACGAAUCGAUGGCUUUAGAGGAAGGAGAAGUCGUAACA
rnacentral:rRNA from 1 species